rnacentral:rRNA from 1 species
UACGAGGGGGGCGAGCGUUGUUCGGAAUUAUUGGGCGUAAAGGGUGCGUAGGCGGUUCGGUAAGUUUCGUGUGAAAUCUUCGGGCUCAACUCAAAGCCUGCACGAAAUACUGCCGGGCUUGAGUGUGGGAGAGGUGAGUGGAAUUUCCGGUGUAGCGGUGAAAUGCGUAGAUAUCGGAAGGAACACCUGUGGCGAAAGCGGCUCACUGGACCACAACUGACGCUGAGGCACGAAAGCUAGGGGAGCAAACAGG